CUCCCAAUCAUUCCUGCUCCAAGAACAAAACAGCACAAAGUAAACUGAGUUCAAUUCAUUUUUCACUUGCAUUCUCCAGGGUUCGGAGGACAGCAGGGCUCUUUUUUUUAAGCACACUGAUUGUUAUGUUAGUUUUGAUUCCUUAACCAACUAUAGGGGUUUGAAAGUGUUUUUACUGCUAUAAAAAGUGUGUUUAAUCUGUGUAUCUUUUUACAAAGCCUGUGCAAGCCUGCUAAAUACAGAAGCAUCUUUAAAGAAUAUGGCAUGAGUAGCCAAAUGCAUGUCUUACAAACACAAGCAGCCUCUGCCCAUUAAUCAGUCAGAUUAAUCUCAGAGAAAACAAAGGCUCCUUAACCCUUUCCAGAUAUGGCAAAGUUACAGGAUUCAUCAGAUCAUAUCAACACAUGCAUCCAUCCAUUUCAUUACUAACCUUUUCUUUACAAUGGCCUCAUUCAUUUCAGAUUCAUCAUACACAUCACAUCAGUUUUGACAUGAGCAACUUUUGAGCCCAUUAAAUCUUACAUACAUCCUUAUGUAUCUGUGUUUAAAUAAGAUGCCUAGUAUAUAUAUUUAAAUCCAAAACGGCAGCAUUCUUGCUAUCUGUUUUUGUUAGGUUUUUGACUGAAAUAUAGAAGAAGUUGAAGAAUGUGUGCUUCUCACCAAUGACUGGCUGUGACAAAAUCUGUUGUCAUGGUAAAUAGUGCUGGUUAUUUGUUGAUCAAACAGGUGCACGUGAGAUCCAUAUCCCAAAACAACGUGGGGGUGGGGGGGGGGGGGGGGCAAUCCUCAAAGAGAACAAUAAAGAAGAAAGUGAAUGUCCACAACAUGUCCACAACCCACUGAAUCAAACAUGCCUGAAGGUCAAGGCCUGGCCUGGCCUUUGUUCACAGAUAACUUCUCGGUUGGAAAUGUUGUGCAUGAUUUUAGGGGCAAAGAGAGCUCUGGAGCUGCAUGAUAAAUGCAAUGUUGUAAAACACAGACUUAGAGAUCUUGGCAAGAGUGGGCUGCAUUGCAGGUUUCUGUAAUGGUUUAGGCCUAUUAAAUGUUAAAACAUUUUACUGUAAUGUUGAAUGGAUAUAAUUACUAAUUUUAGCAUCAGAAAUUAAAUAAAUAAAUAAAUAAAAACUCCACUUAACAGAAGAAUCAAUACGUGGAGUUGCUAGGGAUUCUGGGCCCAUUGCACAGAAUUUGCUAUGGGGCCCCCUCAAAAUUACAGUUGGGCCUCUCUCAUCCUCUAGGUCCUGUGCACUCUGUCUAAUCACCACCACCACCAGAGAUUUUCAAUUAGUGUCAAACUUUUGGACCCCACUGUAUAUGAAUAUUUGAUUUCUAAUGUACUUUCAUGCUUUUAAGAAAGUUUUAAAAAGGAGAGAAUAUUUAGACUACUGAAACACUUUGGUUUGGAUAUAGUCCAGAAGAAACAUGAUAACCAACCUAGAAUGAAGGCCCAUGUGCCAUAGAAAAUAGAAAAAGUGUGAAAGGGAAAGAGACAUGUCGAUUAAGGCUCAUGUGACCAUUCACUCAAACCUCUUGAGUGUGUUUUUAUUCUAUGUUCAGUAACUUUAGCAUCCUGUGUUGCACUUGCGGUAUUUGGCUAGCCUGCAGUUAGUCAUAAAUUGGCACGUGCACACACAACAUUAAGUUUUCCAUACUGGGGGUCUGACCUAACUCCAGAUGUGAAUUAAUGCAGCAAGUGGUUCAAUAAUGCAUCAUCACAGUGGUUUCACUGCCAUAUUGAUCUGUACUGCCACAGAUGCUCUGCGGUGAGAGUUUGAGCCAGCAUCACCUCUCAAAUGACACAACUCACUGCCUUUGCAAUAUUACUCUUCUGAAAUGAAUGUGGAAAAUCAUCCACACAUGUUUAAUAAUGAUUAAAGGGAAGGUUCACACAAAAAUGAAGAUUCUUUUAUUAUUUACUCACCUUCAAGUCGUUCAAAACCAGUAUGACUUUCUUUCUUACAUGGAAAACAAAAGAAGAUAGUUUAAAGAAUGUUAUUUUCCUGUUUGACACUGUAAAGCUGCUUUGACACAAUCAGUACUGUGUAAAGCACUAUACAAAUAAAGGUGACUUGAGUUGACGUGAAGAGGGGCUGUUAAGCACAACAAAAAACAUCAUAAACAUAGUUUUCUAAAUAAAUAUGAUAGCUUUCAUUUAAGUUAUUGAAAAUGUUGUCUUGAAAAGCCAUGGUCACCAUUCACUUUCAGUGUACGAAAAAGAAAAGCUAGGGCAUUUUUCUUUAAACUUCUCCUUCUGUAGAAAAAGUCAUUCAGUUUCACAAGACAUGAGGGUGAAUAAAUGAUAAACGAUUUUCCCAGGCUCAUCUCACCAAUAAAUUACAUUUUGAUUGAGACGAUAAAAUAAAAGAGUUGACCUAAAAAGUAAAGAGCCUAAAAAAGCCUAAAAAGCAAGACACAUUCCCUGUAUACAUUGAAUAACUUUAUACACUGUAAAUAAAUACCAUUGUAAAUGCCAAUUUAAUCCUAUGGCAUUCUAAAUUAUGAUUUCCUAUAAUAACUGACCCCUGUUAGAGCAUAUAACAUAUUUACGUUGGCUGUACAUCACAGUGGGGGAUUAAGUACAGCUGUCCUGUUUUAGAGCAGUCCAGCACUGGAAAAUAAUUAAUCAAGCAAGUGAGGUUAAUUGCUGCCACUGUUUAAUAAUGCUCUACUCCCCAUUAUUGUAAUGUUUGUGGAGCUUAAUAAAAACUCAACCUCUUAUUUGACAGGUCAGUCCCACAGCAGGGAAAUAAAUUAUCCAUCACCCAUCACAAACACUUAUACAAACAGAAGUAUCAUUGGAUAAGAGGAUGGUGAGCAGCCCUUUUGGAACAGCACACACGGGUGACACACAUGGUUCUGUUAAGGACAGGUUGACACCAGCUCUCAGUGUGAAUCAAUGGUUUGUUAGUAAUAGCUGCAGUGUUUUUAUAUGGGCAUAAGGGCUGCAUUAUGAACCAAAGUGUAAACAAAUAACCAGGGUUUGGGAGGGGGUACCUGGAUCUUCCCUAGGGCUGUCUACACAUAUGGAGGACAGAAGAACAAUACUUGUAUGUAUGCAAUAAGAGAUUGAUGGAUGUUUAAGCAGGUUUAGACCACUGAAUUCAGUUCUAUAGUUUUAGGGCAUUCAUUAAAUUCAGAGGAGCCAGAUUGAUCAUUCAUUAUCUUAAUCAUAAUCAUAAUC
rnacentral:lncRNA from 1 species